CCAGGAAACUGUUCAUACCGCUUAUAGCCAAAGGUGAUUUCGCAGACGAACCUUUAUUUAGUUUGUUGUCGCGGAAAAACCGGAGUAAUCCAAGCCAAAUACACUCAGACCAGGGAUCAUGCUUACUAGGUCACCACAACACCGAGUAUGGAAAAUAGCAGGUUUUCAACUUUCAGUCUGUCGUGGGUUGAACCAAAAGAGACAAGACAGGAACACAGCUAAACAGUUUAUUUAAAAUAAACAGAACACGCACACAGGAACAAAACAGGCGAUGAUUUACAGAAAGAAGAACAAGUAGAAGAUUAAUGAAAUAAUAUAACUAAAUUGGCAAAUAUACUCUUAAAAAAAACCUAGGGGAUAUUGAAAUGCAAAUACUUAUGCAGGUUGUGAUAUGAUAAAUAGUCAUUCACACUUGACAUGCUUUGAGAGUAUGUUCACAGAUGAAGAACUUAUCGCCCCAACAGAACCACCGAGCUGCAUGUGCAACACGCAAUAGCG